rnacentral:rRNA from 1 species
GACGAACGCUGGCGGCGUGCUUAACACAUGCAAGUCGAACGGAAAGGCCCUGCUUUUGUGGGGUGCUCGAGUGGCGAACGGGUGAGUAACACGUGAGUAACCUGCCCUUGACUUUGGGAUAACUUCAGGAAACUGGGGCUAAUACCGGAUAGGAGCUCCUGCUGCAUGGUGGGGGUUGGAAAGUUUCGGCGGUUGGGGAUGGACUCGCGGCUUAUCAGCUUGUUGGUGGGGUAGUGGCUUACCAAGGCUUUGACGGGUAGCCGGCCUGAGAGGGUGACCGGCCACAUUGGGACUGGGAUACGGCCCAGCCUCCUACGGGAGGCAGCAGUGGGGAAUAUUGCGCAAUGGGCGGAAGCCUGAUGCAGCAACGCCGCGUGCGGGAUGACGGCCUUCGGGUUGUAAACCGCUUUCGCCUGUGACGAAGCGUGAGUGACGGUAAUGGGUAAAGAAGCACCGGCUAACUACGUG